CAAUAGCGUAUAUUAAAGUUGUUGCAGUUAAAAAGCUCGUAGUUGAAUUUCUGGCGGGCGCGCCGGUCUUCCAAGUGUUGUACUGGGCGCAGUCCGCCAUCCUUGUGGAGAGGGCUCGCAUUGAGUUGCGUGUCGGAUCUGCAUCAUUUACUGUGAAAAAAUUAGAGUGUUUAAAGCAGGCUGUCGCUUGAAUACAUUAGCAUGGAAUAAUGAGAUAGGACUUCGGUCUAUUUUGUUGGUUGCGAACCGAGGUAAUGAUUAAUAGGGAUAGUUGGGGGCACUCGUAUUUCAUUGUCGGAGGUGAAAUUCUUGGAUUUAUGAAAGACGAACUUCUGCGAAAGCAUUUGCCAAGGAUGUUUUCAUUA
rnacentral:rRNA from 1 species